CCUACGGGAGGCAGCAGUAAGGAAUAUUGGUCAAUGGACGAAAGUCUGAACCAGCCAUGCCGCGUGAAGGAUUAAGGCCCUCUGGGUUGUAAACUUCUUUUAUCUGGGACGAAAAAAGGGUAUUCUUACUCACUUGACGGUACCAGAGGAAUAAGCACCGGCUAACUCCGUGCCAGCAGCCGCGGUAAUACGGAGGGUGCAAGCGUUAUCCGGAUUUACUGGGUUUAAAGGGUGCGUAGGUGGGCUUGUAAGUCAGUGGUGAAAUCUCCGGGCUUAACCCGGAAACUGCCAUUAAUACUAUAGGUCUUGAAUUAUCUGGAGGUAAGCGGAAUAUGUCAUGUAGCGGUGAAAUGCUUAGAUAUGACAUAGAACACCAAUUGCGAAGGCAGCUUACUACGGAUAUAUUGACACUGAGGCACGAAAGCGUGGGGAUCAAACAGGAUUAGAUACCCUGGUAGUCCACGACCUAACGAUAGAUACUACACAUACAGCGAUACACUAGUUGUGU
rnacentral:rRNA from 1 species